rnacentral:lncRNA from 1 species
AAUUAUUAUCCCUAUUUACAUAGGAGAACACUCUAACUAGAACAAUUAAGCAACCUGUCAUGGUCCAGGUAGUGGAGCCACGAUUAGAGUUAGACUUCAGAACCACAAGACAGACAUUGCUGGGUGCACAUCUCCCAUCAUCCUUUCAUUUCUCUUAUUAACAGCAUUCCAGUUUAAUUCUGGGUAGUCACGUACAUUGACUGAAAGACUGAAACUCCAAAAUAUUUAAAGACGUUUAUUCCCUACCCAAACAAGAGUGAAUAAAGCCUAAGACCGUCUCAAGGAGUCCUGGAAACAUGUGCCCAAGGUGGUUGGGUUACACCUUGAUUUUAUACAUUUUAGGGGAAAAAAGUUACAGGCACUCUUCUAUCAAUAUAUGUAAGGAGUACAUUGGUUUGGUCCAUAAAGGAAGGCAACAUAAAAAUACUUCUGAUUAUUACUUGGAUGUCUUAUUUAUUAAUACUUUAUCAGAAAAAGAAUUUGUCAUUGCUUAAAUAACAUAAAUUAGAGAUAGAUUUUAUUUAAAGUAGGGGAGAAAAGGGCAAAGA